rnacentral:hammerhead_ribozyme from 1 species
GCACUGCCGAGGAGUCCCAAAAUAAGACGAAACGGCCGUCCAGUGC